AUUGAACGCUGGCGGCAUGCUUUACACAUGCAAGUCGAACGGUAGCAGGGUGCUUGCACCGCUGACGAGUGGCGAACGGGUGAGUAAUGCGUCGGAACGUGCCGAGUAGUGGGGGAUAACGCAGUGAAAGUUGUGCUAAUACCGCAUACGUACUGAGGUAGAAAGUGGGGGACCUUCGGGCCUCACGCUAUUCGAGCGGCCGACGUCUGAUUAGCUAGUAGGUGAGGUAAAGGCUCACCUAGGCGACGAUCAGUAGCGGGUCUGAAAGGAUGAUCCGCCACACUGGGACUGAGACACGGCCCAGACUCCUACGGGAGGCAGCAGUGGGGAAUUUUGGACAAUGGGCGAAAGCCUGAUCCAGCCAUGCCGCGUGUCUGAAGAAGGCCUUCGGGUUGUAAAGGACUUUUGUCAGGGAGGAAAUCCCUAGUGCUAAUAACACUGGGGGAUGACAGUACCUGAAGAAUAAGCACCGGCUAACUACGUGCCAGCCGCCGCCGUAA
rnacentral:rRNA from 1 species